rnacentral:rRNA from 1 species
UGAGGAAUAUUGGACAAUGGAUGGAAAUCUGAUCCAGCCAUGCCGCGUGCAGGAAGACGGCCCUAUGGGUUGUAAACUGCUUUUGUAUGGGAGCAAUAAGGACUACGUGUAGUUUGAUGAGAGUACCAUACGAAUAAGCAUCGGCUAACUCCGUGCCAGCAGCCGCGGUAAUACGGAGGAUGCGAGCGUUAUCCGGAUUUAUUGGGUUUAAAGGGUGCGUAGGCGGCGAUAUAAGUCAGUGGUGAAAUAUUUCGGCUUAACCGAGAGACUGCCAUUGAUACUGUGUUGCUAGAGUAUGGUUGCUGUGAGUGGAAUGUGUGGUGUAGCGGUGAAAUGCUUAGAUAUCACACAGAAUAUCGAUUGCGAAGGCAGCUCACAAAGCCAUUAUUGACGCUGAGGCACGAAAGUGUGGGGAUCAAACA